UUCGGCAAACUGUAACCUCUUUUCUCAUAUUCUGUUCUGUUCCCUUUUCAUAUAAUAUCUCAAUUAUAAUACUUUUUUCCAACAAUGUCAAGGCCGGUCUCGUUACAUCGAUUCAAUUGUCAUAAUAAUUCGAUGUAAUUAUAAUAAUGAUCACGAUUUCGUUUGUCAUGAAAUGAUAAUUACAAUAGCGUUUACGAGAUCGUUAUGAAGAGCUGUUCAUAUUUUUGUGUUCGUUUGAUGACUUUCAUACGACGCUAGAUUCUACAGUUUUUACUCUAUUUUAAAUUUAUUAACUGAGAAACAAACAACGUGUAGUGUCGAGGCUGUGUCGCUGGAAGAAAAACAAUUUAUCUCGUCACGAUACCAAUAUUUUCAUAAGAUCGCCGCACCUGCUAUUGGUCUGUGAUGACAUCUAUCUACAACAAAAAAAUAAAGUAGCUACUACAAUUAUAUUAAAUCUA